GAACGUCGUGAGACAGUUCGGUCCAUAUCCGGUGUAGGCGUUAGAAUAUUGAGAGGAGCCUUCUUUAGUACGAGAGGACCGAGAAGGACACACCGCUGGUGUACCAGUUAUCAUGCCAAUGGUAAACGCUGGGUAGCUAAGUGUGGAGUGGAUAACCGCUGAAAGCAUCUAAGUGGGAAGCCCACCUCGAGAUGAGUAUUCUCAUCACGUUAAGUGAGUAAGGUCACGGCGAGACUAGCCGUUUAAUAGGCAUCAAGUGUAAGUACAGUAAUGUAUGUGCUGAGAUGUCCUAACAGACCGA
rnacentral:rRNA from 1 species